GUCCCUUAAAGGACAACAGAUAAAAUUGGAACAACACAGAAAAAAUUAACAUGAUUCCUAUGUUAAGAUGACAUGUAAAAAUUAAGAAAUAAAUGUCUUUUUA